rnacentral:tRNA from 1 species
UUCUUUGUAGCUUAUAUAAUUAAAGCGUAAGGUUUUUAACCUUAAUAAGCGAUUUUAUGCCGAAGAAA